GACAGCUCAGUUGGUAGAGCAUGACUCUUAAUCUCAGGGUUUUGGGUUUGAGCCCCACGUUGGGCA